GGGGGCAGAGCUCAGUGGGAGAGUGUGUGCUUAGUAUGCACGAGGUCCUGGGUUCAAUCCCCAGUAUCAUUA
rnacentral:tRNA from 1 species